rnacentral:rRNA from 1 species
UCACGCGGACCUUACCUGGGCUUGACAUGCACUGGAAACCAGUAGAGAUAUUGGCCCCCUUGUGGCCGGUGUACAGGUGGUGCAUGGCUGUCGUCAGCUCGUGUCGUGAGAUGUUGGGUUAAGUCCCGCAACGAGCGCAACCCUCGUUCCAUGUUGCCAGCGCGUUAUGGCGGGGACUCAUGGGAGACUGCCGGGGUCAACUCGGAGGAAGGUGGGGAUGACGUCAAGUCAUCAUGCCCCUUAUGUCCAGGGCUUCACACAUGCUACAAUGGCCGGUACAGAGGGCUGCGAAGCCGUGAGGUGGAGCGAAUCCCACAAAGCCGGUCUCAGUUCGGAUCGGGGUCUGCAACUCGACCCCGUGAAGUCGGAGUCGCUAGUAAUCGCAGAUCAGCAACGCUGCGGUGAAUACGUUCCCGGGCCUUGUACACACCGCCCGUCACGUCACGAAAGUCGGUAACACCCGAAGCCCGUGGCCCAACCCGUAAGGGGGGGAGCGGUCGAAGGUGGGAC